rnacentral:rRNA from 1 species
AGAGUUUGAUCCUGGCUCAGGAUGAACGCUAGCUACAGGCUUAACACAUGCAAGUCGAGGGGAAACGACAUCGAAAGCUUGCUUUUGAUGGUCGUCGACCGGCGCACGGGUGAGUAACGCGUAUCCAACCUGCCCAUCACUUGGGGAUAACCUUGCGAAAGUAAGACUAAGUACCCAAUGAUAAUCUCUAGAAGACAUCUGAAAGAGAUUAAAGAUUUAUCGGUGAUGGAUGGGGAUGGCGUCUGAUUAGCUUGUUGGCGGGGUAACGGCCCACCAAGGCAACGAUCAGUAGGGGUUCUGAGAGGAAGGUCCCCCACAUUGGAACUGAGACACGGUCCAAACUCCUACGGGAGGCAGCA